CGAACGGUAGCACAGAGAGCUUGCUCUCGGGUGACGAGUGGCGGACGGGUGAGUAAUGUCUGGGAAACUGCCUGAUGGAGGGGGAUAACUACUGGAAACGGUAGCUAAUACCGCAUAACGUCGCAAGACCAAAGAGGGGGACCUUCGGGCCUCUUGCCAUCAGAUGUGCCCAGAUGGGAUUAGCUAGUAGGUGGGGUAACGGCUCACCUAGGCGACGAUCCCUAGCUGGUCUGAGAGGAUGACCAGCCACACUGGAACUGAGACACGGUCCAGACUCCUACGGGAGGCAGCAGUGGGGAAUAUUGCACAAUGGGCGCAAGCCUGAUGCAGCCAUGCCGCGUGUAUGAAGAAGGCCUUCGGGUUGUAAAGUACUUUCAGCGGGGAGGAAGGUGUUGUGGUUAAUAACCGCAGCAAUUGACGUUACCCGCAGAAGAAGCACCGGCUAACUCCGUGCCAGCAGCCGCGGUAAUACGGAGGGUGCAAGCGUUAAUCGGAAUUACUGGGCGUAAAGCGCACGCAGGCGGUCUGUCAAGUCGGAUGUGAAAUCCCCGGGCUCAACCUGGGAACUGCAUUCGAAACUGGCAGGCUAGAGUCUUGUAGAGGGGGGUAGAAUUCCAGGUGUAGCGGUGAAAUGCGUAGAGAUCUGGAGGAAUACCGGUGGCGAAGGCGGCCCCCUGGACAAAGACUGACGCUCAGGUGCGAAAGCGUGGGGAG
rnacentral:rRNA from 1 species